AUUGAACGCUGGCGGCAGGCCUAACACAUGCAAGUCGAACGAGUGGCGGACGGGUGAGUAAUGUCUGGGAAACUGCCUGAUGGAGGGGGAUAACUACUGGAAACGGUAGCUAAUACCGCAUACCAUCGGAUGUGCCCAGAUGGGAUUAGCUAGUAGGUGGGGUAAAGGCUCACCUAGGCGACGAUCCCUAGCUGGUCUGAGAGGAUGACCAGACACACUGGAACGGAGACACGGGCCAGACGCCUACGGGAGGCAGCAGUGGGGAAUAUUGGACAAUGGGCGAAAGCCUGAUGCAGCCAUGCCGCGUGUGUGAAGAAGGUCUUCGGGUUGUAAAGUACUUUAAGCGGGGAGGCGUUACCAACAGAAGAAGCACCGGCUAAAUUCGUGCCAGCAGCCGCGGUAAUUC
rnacentral:rRNA from 1 species